rnacentral:rRNA from 1 species
UACGUAGGGGGCAAGCGUUGUCCGGAAUCAUUGGGCGUAAAGCGCGCGUAGGUGGUCAUGUAAGUCCGCUGUGAAAGUCAAAGGCUCAACCUUUGAAAGCCGGUGGAUACUGCAUGACUAGAGUACGGAAGAGGCGAGUGGAAUUCCUGGUGUAGCGGUGGAAUGCGCAGAUAUCAGGAGGAACACCAAUAGCGAAGGCAGCUCGCUGGGACGUUACUGACACUGAGGCGCGAAAGCGUGGGGAGCGAACGGG